UACGGAGGGUGCAAGCGUUAAUCGGAAUAACUGGGCGUAAAGGGCAUGCAGGCGGUUAUACAAGUAGGAUGUGAAAGCCUGGGGCUCAACCUCAGAACUGCAUUCUAAACUGUGUGACUAGAGUAUUGCAGGGGGAGACGGAAUUUCAGGUGUAGCGGUGGAAUGCGUAGAUAUCUGAAAGAACACCAAAGGCGAAGGCAGUCUCCUGGGCAAAUACUGACGCUCAUAUGCGAAAGCGUGGGUAGCAAACAGG
rnacentral:ncRNA from 2 species